AUCAGUAGCUCAGUCUGGAAGAGCAAUGGCCUCCAAACCCAUGUGUCGCUGGUUCAAAUCCGGCCUGA
rnacentral:tRNA from 1 species